CAGUCGCCACGGGAAAACGGAGGGGGCUAGCGUUGUUCGGAAUUACUGGGCGUAAAGCGCACGUAGGCGGCUUGGUAAGUUAGAGGUGAAAGCCUGGAGCUCAACUCCAGAAUUGCCUUUAAGACUGCCGAGCUAGCAGGUGAGAGAGGUAAGUGGAAUUCCGAGUGUAGAGGUGAAAUUCGUAGAUAUUCGGAAGAACACCAGUGGCGAAGGCGGCUUACUGGCUCAUACUGGACGCUGAGGUGCGAAAGCGUGGGGAGCAAACAGGAUUAGAUACCCCUGUAGUCCCUGUCUCUUAUAC
rnacentral:rRNA from 1 species